UGUUUGAACGGGAUUUUUUAAACUCGCGUCCCACUCAUAAAGAAAAUAAUAUUGAUGAAAGAGAAUCACCAAUCAUAUCAUAAAAAUCAUCAAGGAAAUUUCAGACAGCAAAAUAUAAUUGAAUGCUUAAUAGAUAUCUAAAAGCUAGAUAAGGAUCAAGAGGGACUUAACGUGGUUCAGAGUUUCGAUGUGAAAGCCAUGCAACA
rnacentral:lncRNA from 1 species